CUUUCUCGGCCUCCUGGUUGCAGCGCUCCACCCGGGUCGUGUAUUUGCGGACUUCCUCCUGAGACUUGGACGGGUCGGCCUUGGCGUGCGUUUCCCUGGUAGAUGCUGUCCACUCCUCCUUCCUGGCCUGAUGAUAUUUUCAGAUAACUGGUAACAUUCACGAUGGCUGAGUCCCAGUAAGUCAUCACAUGACCCCAGAGGCCUGGAAAUAACGUCUGUAGCCACCACACGACAGACCAUCAGAAAACCGCCCAGGUGGCGCUCACCUCCUUCAGUUUGCGGACCCAGGGUUUCUGGGCUUUGCGGAAGCCGUCGUCUGCGUCU